rnacentral:rRNA from 1 species
AUUGAACGCUGGCGGCAGGCCUAACACAUGCAAGUCGAGCGAGCGGCGGACGGGUGAGUAAUGUAUGGGGCCUGCCCGAUAGAGGGGGAUAACUACUGGAAACGGUGGCUAAUCCCGAAUACUAUCGGAUAACCCAUAUGGGAUUAGCUAUUAGGUGGGGUAAAGGCUCACCUAGGCCACGAUCGCUAGCGGGUCUGAGAGGAUGAUGGGCCACAUGGGAACUGAGACACGGCCCAGACUCCGAGGGAGGCAGCAGUGGGAAAUAUUGCACAAUGGGGGAAAGCCUGAUGCAGACAGGCGGCGUGUAUGAAGAAGGCCUCAGGGUGGUAAGUUAUUUUGAGCGGGGAGGCGUUACCCGCAGAAGAAGCGCCGGCUAACUCCGUGCCAGCAGCCGCGGUAAUAC